AGGGAGGAGGGGUCCUUCCUGGUGGGUGUACGGAACUCGGGUGGUUUUUCUUAGGAAAAACACCCGUUUUCACGUACGCCCAUCCUUUCCCAACGUUGCCUCGGAUGUCCCGUCGUUAUGCCAUCACGAAGGUGCUGGCCCGGUCCCGUGUACGUCUCGUGAGAAAUCCUGACCCUACAGCCGAACGUGGCUUGGGAAACAGGAAAGUACCCCGUUUCGUACACGAUCCGACCGACGGUAAACAGUCGCAACGGUUUCCCUCGAAUGUCGCCUCCGGAAAACCGUUGCCCCUCGGGGGCAACGUCAUCGCUGUCCCGGUCCCCUGUUCGUCUCAAGUGAAAUUCUGACCCAACAGCCGAAUGUGGCUCGGGAAACAGGAAAGUAGCCCGUUUCGUGCACGAUAAGACCGUCGGACAACGUUGCACCGACGUCCCUAUUAAGUUGCCUUCGGAAAAUCGUUUCAUCCGUAACUUUAUUGCUACGGGUGUGACACACGCGUGAUUUGGCCUUGCAGGACGCCUUCGUGCAAGUGAUCCUCCCGUGCUCUGCACGGGCGGAGGCUUGGUUGGUUUGACCGCUUGUUGGCUACUAAGCGCAUGAGUAGCUUUUGACCCGUGUCUGCCGGUAGAUCCCCCGUUGUACUGCGGCCGACUACCGGCGCCGUGUCCCGUCCCUCGUGUGGCUUCGAAUCGCUGGAUUAAGAGUGCUUGCGUGCUAGUACCCGACCUACGGGAAGUGGUGCUUCGGAUAAUUGUUGCCUCGCGGCGGACGCCCUUUGGGUGUGCCGCUGCGGCCAAAUAGCGCUUGCGGCGUUGCCUCGUGGCGCUGGCACGUUACGUGCCCGCUGCUAUCAAGGCAACCUCGCUCCCGCUUUUGGUCUCGGAUGCUGCUGACGAUAAAGGGUCGUGGCCCUUUCGGUUGCCUCGACCCGACCCAAAGCUCUCCGAAUUGAGAACAACCGGAACAGGAGUUGCCUCUACCUCUCCACAGUUACGUGGUAGGAUACGCGACUCUCUGCGCCGAUCCUCAAGGAGGAUGAGCAAUGCCGCUCAAGAGCGACAACCGGCCCGGCUGUUGCCUUUGAGUUUCCAUGAAAGUGGAAGCGCAAGACGAUGGUCGUGCUGGGCGUCACCAAGGACGUGC
rnacentral:misc_RNA from 1 species